AAAUAAAUAAGCAAAUGUCUCUCCUGGGUGUGUAACUAUAGGCUUAUUGCACACUGGGCAGUGAAUCUGCUUUUCGGAUAACAGUUUUCUAGCAACCCAGAUGGGACCAGCUGUGUCUGGAUCGUCUUGCCAGUUCCUGGCGGGGAGACGCUGCCCUUUGCACUCCAGCGCGCACUGACCUUUUUGUUCAGGGACUCCGCGAGCAACCUCCCCAGUCGGAGCGGUGUCGGACUUAAAAGAUGCUUUCUUCUGUAUCCCUGUGGAGGAACAAAGUCAACAAUUAUUCGCCUUUGAGUGGGAAAGUCCUACAACGGGACGCAAAAUGCAGUUGCGCUGGACAGUACUCCCACAAGGAUUCAAGAACAGCCCUACAAUUUUUGGUUAUGUACUCGCAAAAGAAUUAUAGUUAUGGCAAAGUACAUCCAGUUAAGAUCUCCUGUACUUUUAGAUUCACCUGUACAUUCAUUCCAGCUGGGAGAUCAAGUAUAUCUUCGAACCUGGAAGGAUGAGCUGUUGAUAGAAAAAUGGAGAGAACCAUAUCUUGAACUACUAACAACAAAUACUGCUGUGAAACUGCAGGGAAUUGAUUCCUGGAUCCACUACACCUGAGUGAAAGCAGUGCCUCAGGAGACAUGGAAAGCUGAACAAGUUCAACCUUUAAAAUUAAAAAUAUAUAAAGAUAUAUGAAUUGUAUUAAAAGUGAAUCAGUUUUAAAUUUAGAUUGUAUUCAGGGAAAAUUUGUUUUAAUUUGCUUCUUAGGAAUAGGGUUAAUAUUAUUAUGAUAACUGUGUGAAAAUGAUGUUCUCCUUAACAAACAACAGGGGAGAAAUGUGGUGGUUAGUUUUUUUAGGUUACCUGAGCCAAGCAAUUAAAGGGAAUCAGGAAGGAUUUGGGGGUCAAAAUCUUAAUUUGGAAGUAAUUACAAAAUCUAUAAAGAUAGUUAACCAGACAAAUUGUUGGGUGUGUACCCACUUUCCUGAAUCUUCCACCAAGGGCAUCCCGCUAAUUGGAGUGCCUCUUAAUUUUUCUUUUAUGGAAUUUAUAAAACAGAUAAGAAAUGAUAGCGAUCAAACGAAAUAUGAUGAAACAACAGAACAGGAAUGGGAAGUCCAGAGUGUGACAGGAGAUUAUUAUCAAUGUAUCCGAAGAUGUAAUAAUAGUAAUAAAUGGUGGGAAAAAACUGUGCCUUAUGGAAAACAACCGAUCAACUGUACUGGAGCAAUCAAGGUAGGUAGUUAUGAGAGUUGCUCUCAGAUACCUGAAAUAGGUUAUAAGUGGCCAAGUAAGGAACUAAAUGGGUGGCGUGUUCCGAAAGGUAGUGGAUGGUAUUGGUUGUGUGGGAACAAGGCACGAAAAGCGCUACCUCCUAAUUGGUCAGGGACAUGUACUUUAGGGGCAAUAAUCCCUAAUAUUACUGUAACCAAACAACUGAGUAACAAAUACCAAAGAUCAUGGUUAAGAACAUUCAUGAGGAGACAAAAAAGGAUCAAUAAUCCUUUAAUAGAUCGACCUACUAGAUUUCAUUCUUUCGCAAGGUGGCCGUUUCCACAGCGGGGAGUGAGUGAACUUGAAAAAGCAAUUGUGAGUAUUUCAGCAGUUAUUGAGAAAAUAGAGAAUAAAACCUCUGAUGUCAUUACAGCUUUACAAGAGGAGGUUUCAGAAAUUGCUAAAAUAACCACCCAGAACAGAAUAGCUCUAGAUAUGUUAUUAGCAUCUCAGAGAGUAUAUACAGUAAUAAAUACUAGUUGCUGUCAAUCAAAAUGUCAAUCAAAGCAGGAAAAUUUCUACCGAUCUAAAUGAAAUCUGGAAGCAAACUGAAAACUUACAUGAGAUUCAGAAAAAUGAUACCUCUUUCGGAUUUGAAGAAACAUGGAAAUGGUUGACUUCCUGGUUCCCUGACAUAAGCUCAUGGGUUAAGAAGUGUUUAGUGAUUUUGGGAAUGGUGUUACUAAUUUUUGUAUGUGUUUAUGUAGUGAUUCAAUGUAUUUCUAGAUGUACAAAGUUAAUAGGGGGCAAACUUUUAAAGGGGUGAGACUAAUAUGAACAUGGUCAUAUAAGUCUCAAAGGUGGAAAGUUGUUAAAGGACGACCUUGGAAACUCAGAAAGAACGUCCAUGUUUAAAUGAGGCAGACUGGGAUAACCUCUAUCUGUUUUCUGGGAGGAAAUAUCCUUUAGUCAAGGACAUCCUAGAACUGCUAAAGCCUGAGGAAAAACUAAAUCAAAAUGUUUUACUUUCUAUGGAUAUAUUGCCAGCUUGGCAAAAGAAUUUGAGGUCCACAUAUGCCUAACUGAACUGUCCUUAUAAUACAAAAAAAAAUCACACCUGUAGGUCAAAAAGACCCACGCCUGGGUGAAGACCCCUCCCCGAGCAUGCAUAAUACUAGAAUGUUGUGUAAGCAAUAUUAUAAUUAUAUGUAAAUUACUAAACAAUCAGUGUAGAAGGGGAAGUUGGAAACCUUGCAGCUUUUUGUAUAAAUGCUACUUGGACAGCCAGUGGGAUGCGCUUGAUUUGUGGGAAACCACCGAGCACCCAGGCUUGCGCAAAUCUCAAAUAAAUAAGCAAAUGUCUC